GAAGCUAAACCUACUUGUUUCCUCCGCCUAACUAUUAUUAUUACAGAUCUACUUCUUAUCUUCUCACAGUCGAUCUCUUUUCCUUUGACUUUAAUCUCCAGUAUCCUUUCUCUCUUCCUUACGCUCCUCUGUUUAUUAAGAUGAAUAUCCUACGUGGUUCUUCUUCAGGGACAGUUAGGAGGAGCCGUCAAACUUGUCUUCCUCCUGGAGCGACCAGACCAGCUUUGUCUGCUUCUUGACAUCCACUUCCAAGCUUAGCUGCUGUGAUGAGUGCACCUGAGAGACGUAACGUGCCUCUUCUCCAUCUACAAAGGCCCAAUGGAACUUUAUGGUUUGGGAUAGACGACUGCAUCCCAAAAGAUUUAGUGUCAACAUACCAGUCAAUUUGCUUUUCUUGUAGGUGGCGACCACUGGCAAAAGGAGAGUUUAUGGGCUUGGUUCAAUUCAAGAUAUUGAUGAUGAACCAAGUGAGACUGCACCAGCUUCUUUAUUUACUCAUGUGGCAGUUGAUGGAUGCUUGACCAUCGUGGAGGGUGUUGUAACUUGCUUGAAGGAUGAUGUUUCUGGCUUGAAGGAGGAUGUAAUUGGUAUUAAGCGAGGCAUCGAGGUGCUGAUGAAGAUGAAUGGAGUGGAUCCUGUUACCUUUGAACCUAUUCAGCGUGAUAGUGAUGCCUCUGUUCCAACUCCCCAAUCAAGCCAAUAACUUGACCAAAAAUCUCGUACACUAACUCUUGCAUCUGAUCUUGGUGUCUUUUGUGUUUAUACUAAGUUACACUAACAUCAUUAGAUGUAUUUUGUAAGAACAUCAGUAGAUGUCUUUUGUAACUAUUGAAGAACAUCAUUAGAUGUCUUUUGUAAAAAAACUUAUAAUUUUAAUGGUAUUUGAAUGUUUAAAUUAA